rnacentral:rRNA from 1 species
CCUACGGGAGGCAGCAGUGAGGAAUAUUGGUCAAUGGACGAGAGUCUGAACCAGCCAAGUAGCGUGAAGGAUGACUGCCCUAUGGGUUGUAAACUUCUUUUAUAUGGGAAUAAAACGUUCCACGUGUGGGAUUUUGUAUGUACCAUAUGAAUAAGGAUCGGCUAACUCCGUGCCAGCAGCCGCGGUAAUACGGAGGAUCCGAGCGUUAUCCGGAUUUAUUGGGUUUAAAGGGAGCGUAGGUGGAUUGUUAAGUCAGUUGUGAAAGUUUGCGGCUCAACCGUAAAAUUGCAGUUGAAACGGGCAGUCUUGAGUACAGUAGAGGUGGGCGGAAUUCGUGGUGUAGCGGUGAAAUGCUUAGAUAUCACGAAGAACUCCGAUUGCGAAGGCAGUUCACUGGACUGCAACUGACACUGAGGCUCGAAAGUGUGGGUAUCAAACAGGAUUAGAUACCCCGGUAGUC